CUCCCCCAAACCCUAACCCUAACCCUAACCCUAACCGUAACUCUGGCCCCUCCUCGCACCCCGCCUUCCGCCCCAUCUCCAAGCCUCGCUCCCCUGCUCGCGUCGAAACCGGAGAAUUCUCCAUCUCCGAGAAGGGGAUAACCUACAAGAUCAAGGACGCGCCCUUUGAAUUCCAGUAUAGCUACACCGAGACCCCCAAGGUGAAGCCGCUGGCACUGCGCGAGCCGCAGUUCCUGCCGUUCGGACCCACCACGAUGCCCCGGCCGUGGACCGGCCGUGCCCCGCUGCCGCCCAGCAAGAAGAAGCUUCCGGAGUUUGACUCGUUCCGGCUGCCCCCUCCUGGGAAGAAGGGGGUGAAGCCGGUGCAGGCGCCUGGGCCGUUCAUUGCGGGGUCAGGGCCCAGGUACCAUGCGGGAUCAAGGGAGGAGAUAUUGGGGGAGCCGUUGACGGCAGAGGAGGUCGCAAACUUGGUGAAGGGGUGCCUGAAGAUGAGGAGACAGCUGAAUAUGGGUAUGUGUGAAAGAUUGUGGCUUGUUGCGUCCAAAUUUAACAGCUCAUUUAAUGUUUUUCAUUUCCUGUUUGUAACCUUUUUGAUGUUGAUAAGUGAGAUUUUUUUAUGUCUUUCUCUUCGGAAAUUGCAUAAUUGAUGCUUGUAUACAAGGACACAGUAAGAUAGAUACUUCUUUUCAUAGGUGGAAUUCAUUAAAUCUUGGAAAAUUAUUACUGCUAGGACCUUGCGGUGGACUCGAAGCAAACCCAUAGAUUGCAACGACGAAAAAAAGUCCCCAUAAUGCACAAGUUAUCACUGGAUAACUUGUUCAGGCAUCCGAACAGGCCAUUAGUGUUUCCUUGUUUCAUUACUUACUAGUGUAGUGACCAGCGCGAUGCUGCGGAUAGAUACUUUGCUUAGUCGUAAAGAAUAUAAAAAAUUUCUUAUAGGAUUACUUAGUAUGCAUAUAUUUAUUUAUACAGCGGUCAAUAGCAUAAUUAUCUAUAUUUGUGUAUACCAAUUUUACUAUUCUUUUAUUUCUUAUAUAUUCAUAUUGCAUAAAGUAGGAGAAACAAAUUAUUAUUUUUUAUAAGCAUCGCGCAAAGGCGGACUUACAAAUUCAGAGUCCAAUGGUUGCAGAAAAACCGCUAAAGUUAAAAGAUUUUUGAGUAAAAAAAAUCAAAAUUAUUUUUUUUAAAUAUAUAUACGGUAGAUAAUUCGAAAUAAACAAACCAGUAAAAUUAGAGGAACGAUUGCAGCAAAAUAGAAUCAGAUGAAGAACCAACGAAAUCAGUGGAAUCAGAGGAACUGCUGCAGCCAAGCGGAAUCGAAGGUCUUCUUAGAAGAACAGAUGACCGUGGAAGUACAGCAAAAGACGAUGGAUGUCUUAAUAUAUAGGCAUUUAGAUGAAGGGGUUUUCUUAGAGGAAUAGAUAACCGUGAAAGUACAGCAAAAGACGAUAGAUGUCUUAAUAUACAUGUAUUUAGAGGAAGGGAAAAAGGCAUAGAAUAAUUCUUUGUAAUAAAUAGAGACAAAAUCGAAGCGGCGAAAUCGAAGCAGUGAAGGGACGCAAUAGAUGGGAACGCAGUGGCGGUAAUGAAAACUCUAAGUAGGAAAGAAGGAGCGGCAAUGUACCCGGUCAAUUUUUCAUCUAGAGGAAACACGCUCGGAACGAAGCGACAAUAAAUGAAUUGAACCGGUUUAAUGGUAGGGGCAAAAAAUGAAGCGAACCGGUCUCAAAAUGAGAAGAGGAACCGGUGGUUCAAUUACUCUGAGGAGGGAAGGAGCGGCGAUGUACCCGGUCAAUUUUUCGUCUAGAGGAAACACGCUCGGAACGAAGCGACAAUAAAUGAAUUGAACCGAUUUAAUGGUAGGGGCAAAAAAUGAAGCGAACCGGUCUCAAAAUGAGAAGAGGAACCGGUGGUUUAAUUAAAAAAAAAGAAAAAAAAUCAUAAUAUUAAUAGAUGGGUCCCACGCCUAUAAGGCAAGGAAAACUUGCCACGUGGACUCCCCAUACGGGAAUUAAUAUAAGUAGGUCAAUUUUUCGUCUAGAGGAAACAUGCUCGGAACGAAGCGACAAUAAAUGAAUUGAACUGGUUUAAUUGUAGGGACAACAAACGAAGCGAGCCGGUCUAACAAAGAGAAGAGGAACCGGUGGUUCAAUUACUCUGAGGAGGGAAGGAGCGGCGAUGUACCCGGUCAAUUUUUCGUCUAGAGGAAACACGCUUGGAACGAAGCGACAAUAAAUGAAUUGAACCGGUUUAAUGGUAAGGGCAAACAACGAAGCGAACCGGUCUGACAAUGAGAAGAGGAACCGGUGGUUCAAUUGAAAAAAAAAAAAUCAUAAUAUUAACUGAUGGGUCCCAUUCCUAUAAGGCAAGGAAAACUUGCCACGUGGACUCCCCAUACGGGAAUUAAUAUAAGUAUAUAGAUAAAUAGUAAGUGGGAGAGAGCAGGGAGAGUCUGAUUUUUUAAUUUUCUGCAUUUUUAUGUUUCAUAGGCUGAAGGAAGUUACCAGUACACAUUGAUUUUGGCUCUACUGUUUGAUUUGGUAUGCGACUUUUUUGGUUCACUUUCUUCUGUAAUGGGUAAAUGCUUGAUUUCAAAAUGAGGUAGAAUUACAUGGAACUGUAUCUAAAUAUAGCUGCUAAACAGUCGACAAUUAACAUNCCUCCAAGUACUCCAAACCCCCUCCCCCAAACCCUAACCCUAACCCUAACCCUAACCGUAACUCUGGCCCCUCCUCGCACCCCGCCUUCCGCCCCAUCUCCAAGCCUCGCUCCCCUGCUCGCGUCGAAACCGGAGAAUUCUCCAUCUCCGAGAAGGGGAUAACCUACAAGAUCAAGGACGCGCCCUUUGAAUUCCAGUAUAGCUACACCGAGACCCCCAAGGUGAAGCCGCUGGCACUGCGCGAGCCGCAGUUCCUGCCGUUCGGACCCACCACGAUGCCCCGGCCGUGGACCGGCCGUGCCCCGCUGCCGCCCAGCAAGAAGAAGCUUCCGGAGUUCGACUCGUUCCGGCUGCCCCCUCCUGGGAAGAAGGGGGUGAAGCCGGUGCAGGCGCCUGGGCCGUUCAUUGCGGGGUCAGGGCCCAGGUACCAUGCGGGAUCAAGGGAGGAGAUAUUGGGGGAGCCGUUGACGGCAGAGGAGGUCGCAAACUUGGUGAAGGGGUGCCUGAAGAUGAGGAGACAGCUG
rnacentral:lncRNA from 1 species